rnacentral:rRNA from 1 species
GACGAACGCUGGCGGCGUGCCUAAUACAUGCAAGUAGAACGCUGAAGGAGGAGCUUGCUUCUCUGGAUGAGUUGCGAACGGGUGAGUAACGCGUAGGUAACCUGCCUGGUAGCGGGGGAUAACUAUUGGAAACGAUAGCUAAUACCGCAUAAGAGUAGAUGUUGCAUGACAUUUGCUUAAAAGGUGCAAUUGCAUCACUACCAGAUGGACCUGCGUUGUAUUAGCUAGUUGGUGGGGUAACGGCUCACCAAGGCGACGAUACAUAGCCGACCUGAGAGGGUGAUCGGCCACACUGGGACUGAGACACGGCCCAGACUCCUACGGGAGGCAGCAGUAGGGAAUCUUCGGCAAUGGACGGAAGUCUGACCGAGCAACGCCGCGUGAGUGAAGAAGGGUUUCGGAUCGUAAAGCUCUGUUGUAAGAGAAGAACGAGUGUGAGAGUGGAAAGUUCACACUGUGACGGUAUCUGACCAGAAAGGGACGGCUAACUACGUG